AGAGUUUGAUCCUGGCUCAGAUUGAACGCUGGCGGCAUGCCUUACACAUGCAAGUCGAACGGUAACGCGGGGCAACCUGGCGACGAGUGGCGAACGGGUGAGUAAUAUAUCGGAACGUGCCCAGUAGUGGGGGAUAGCCCGGCGAAAGCCGGAUUAAUACCGCAUGAGACCUAUGGGUGAAAGCGGGGGAUCGCAAGACCUCGCGCUAUUGGAGCGGCCGAUAUCAGAUUAGGUAGUUGGUGGGGUAAAGGCCUACCAAGCCGACGAUCUGUAGCUGGUCUGAGAGGACGACCAGCCACACUGGGACUGAGACACGGCCCAGACUCCUACGGGAGGCAGCAGUGGGGAAUUUUGGACAAUGGGCGCAAGCCUGAUCCAGCCAUGCCGCGUGCGGGAAGAAGGCCUUCGGGUUGUAAACCGCUUUUGUCAGGGAAGAAAUCUUCUGGGUUAAUACCUCGGGAGGAUGACGGUACCUGAAGAAUAAGCACCGGCUAACUACGUGCCAGCAGCCGCGGUAAUACGUAUGGUGCAAGCGUUAAUCGGAAUUACUGGGCGUAAAGCGUGCGCAGGCGGUGAUGUAAGACAGAUGUGAAAUCCCCGGGCUCAACCUGGGAACUGCGUUUGUGACUGCAUCACUCGAGUACG
rnacentral:rRNA from 1 species